UUGUACAUACAAGUAGUAGGGAAAGGAAACUGGACCGGACCCUUCGGGAGCUUGUACAGGUGGCUGCAUGGCUGUCGUCAGCUCGUGUCGUGAGAUGUUCGGUUAAGUCCGCUAACGAGCGCAACCCUCGCUGUGUGUUACAAGUGUCACACGGAACUGCCGGUCAUAAACCGGAGGAAGGUGGGGAUGACGUCAAGUCAGCAUGGCCUUUAUAUCCUGGGCUACACACACGCUACAAUGGGAAGGGACAAUAGGUUGCGAAGCCGCGAGGCGGAGCCAAUCCAGCAAAACUUCCCUCAGUUCAGAUUGCAGGCUGCAACUCGCCUGCAUGAAGUUGGGGUUGCUAGUAAACGCAGGUCAGCCAUACUGCGUUGAAUACGUUCCCGGGGCUU
rnacentral:rRNA from 1 species